rnacentral:rRNA from 1 species
UACGGAGGGGGCUAGCGUUGUUCGGAAUUACUGGGCGUAAAGCGCGCGUAGGCGGCUUUGUAAGUUAGAGGUGAAAGCCCGGAGCUCAACUCCGGAAUUGCCUUUAAGACUGCAUCGCUCGAAUCAUGGAGAGGUGAGUGGAAUUCCGAGUGUAGAGGUGAAAUUCGUAGAUAUUCGGAAGAACACCAGUGGCGAAGGCGACUCACUGGACAUGUAUUGACGCUGAGGUGCGAAAGCGUGGGGAGCAAACAGGG